CUCCAGCAGAAUCCUCCUCGCGGUAACACAUGGAUACUGAUUACUUAGUUAGUCAGGCUAAUCUGUUGGAGAUCUCGGAGUAGCAAGGACCCUAGAGAUGCAGUGUGUAGGCCCAUCGGUGUGUGGAUACGCCCUAGCACUCAUCAACCUUGCCCCAGUUAUGGGAAAAUAAACGGUCAGAUAGAGGUCGUAGUCAGGGAUGACUAUCUAUCUAGGAGAGACAACUCUGAAUUGAAACAUGGGUAGAUCAUGACUCAUAGUCGGGGACGACAACUGAUCUAAAGGAAGAGAACCUUGAAAGAAAAUCUCCUGGUCCUCCAGGUUGGGGGUUGAGCACAAGACCAACUAUCUCGUCUCGCAAAAAAACAAACAGUUACGGAAACAAGGACAAGAAACUUAACUCGUCUCGGACACUCGGAAUACCAGCAAUCACAUGCAAGUAUGAAUGGUGCCAGUGAAAGCCAAGAGGAAGCUAGCAGCAGGAAUGGUAUUCUGAACACGAGAACAAAACUGAAGGUAGGAUGUUGGAAUGUUCGUACAAUGUAUGAAACAGGAAAACAAGCACAAAUUUUAAAUGAAAUGAAAAAUUAUAAGCUCCACUUACUAGGCAUUAGUGAAUGUAGAUGGACAGGUUGUGGAAAGUCUAUAGCAAGAUCAGGAGAAACAAUCAUACAUUCUGGAAGGACAGACAACAAGCAUCAACAAGGUGUUGCUAUAAUUAUGAACAAACAAACAGCAAAAUCACUUAUUGAGUACAAUCCUGUAAAUGAAAGAAUUAUAAGAGCCCGUUUCCAUGCAAAGAAAGGCAAAGUAACUUUUAUUCAGUGCUAUGCACCAACAAAUGAAGCGGAAGAGGAAGUAAAAACUGAAUUCUAUAACACCUUGCAAGCUGAGAUCAGAAAAGUACCAACACAUGAUUUGACAAUUGUAACGGGUGAUUUAAAUGCAAAGGUUGGCAACGAUAAUACAGGAAAUGAAAGAGUAAUGGGUAAAUAUGGAUGUGGGCAAAUGAAUGAAAAUGGAGAACUUCUGGUUGACUUCUGUGGAAUUAACAACUUAGUAAUUGGUGGAACCAUCUUCCCACACAAAGACAUUCACAAGCUAACUUGGAACUCACCAAAUGGAAGAGACAAAAAUCAAAUAGAUCACAUUAUGAUCAAUGGAAAAUGGAAAAGAUCCUUACAAGAUGUCAGAGUAAAGAGAGGAGCUGACAUUGCAAGUGAUCACUUUCUAAUAACAGCCAACAUAAAGUUGAAACUUAAAAAGAUGUCUUCACCAACAACCAUUAAAAGAAAAUUUGAUAUAAAUAAACUGCAAGACACCAA
rnacentral:lncRNA from 1 species